GUGGGGAAUAUUGGACAAUGGGCGCAAGCCUGAUCCAGCCAUGCCGCGUGAGUGAUGAAGGCCUUAGGGUUGUAAAGCUCUUUCGUCAGGGAAGAUAAUGACGGUACCUGAAGAAGAAGCCCCGGCUAACUUCGUGCCAGCAGCCGCGGUAAUACGAAGGGGGCUAGCGUUGCUCGGAAUCACUGGGCGUAAAGCGCGCGUAGGCGGCUUUCUAAGUCAGGGGUGAAAUCCUGGAGCUCAACUCCAGAACUGCCUUUGAUACUGGAGAGCUUGAGUUCGGGAGAGGUGAGUGGAACUGCGAGUGUAGAGGUGAAAUUCGUAGAUAUUCGCAAGAACACCAGUGGCGAAGGCGGCCAACUGGUCCGAUACUGACGCUGAGGUGCGAAAGCGUGGGGAGCAAACAGGAUUAGAUACCCUUGUAGUCC
rnacentral:rRNA from 1 species